rnacentral:rRNA from 1 species
GUAGGUGGCAAGCGUUGUCCGGAAUUAUUGGGCGUAAAGCGCGCGCAGGCGGUUCUUUAAGUCUGAUGUGAAAGCCCACGGCUCAACCGUGGAGGGUCAUUGGAAACUGGAGAACUUGAGUACAGAAGAGGAAAGCGGAAUUCCACGUGUAGCGGUGAAACGCGUAGAGAUGUGGAGGAACACCAGUGGCGAAGGCGGCUUUCUGGUCUGUAACUGACGCUGAGGCGCGAAAGCGUGGGGAGCAAACAGGGAUUAGAUACCCUGGUAGUCCACGCCGUAAACGAUGAGUGCUAAGUGUUAGGGGGGUUUCCGCCCCCCUUAGUGCUGCAGCUAACGCAUUAAGCACUCCGCCUGGGAGUACGGCCGCAAGGCUG